GACGAACGCUGGCGGCGUGCCUAAUACAUGCAAGUUGAGCGCUGAAGGUUGGUACUUGUACCAACUGGAUGAGCAGCGGACGGGUGAGUAACGCGUGGGGAAUCUGCCUUUGAGCGGGGGACAACAUUUGGAAACGAAUGCUAAUACCGCAUAAAAACUUUAAACACAAGUUUUAAGUUUGAAAGAUGCAAUUGCAUCACUCAAAGAUGAUCCCGCGUUGUAUUAGCUAGUUGGUGAGGUAAAGGCUCACCAAGGCGAUGAUACAUAGCCGACCUGAGAGGGGGAUCGGCCACAAUGGGACUGAGACACGGCCCAAAAUCCUACGGGGGGCAGCAGUAGGGAAUCUUCGGCAAUGGACGAAAGUCUGACCGAGCAACGCCGCGUGAGUGAAGAAGGUUUUCGGAUCGUAAAACUCUGUUGGUAGGGAAGAACGUUGGUGAGAGUGGAAAGCGCAUCAAGUGACGGUAACUACCCAGAAAGGGACGGCUAACUACGUG
rnacentral:rRNA from 1 species